UACGGAGGGGGUUAGCGUUGUUCGGAAUUACUGGGCGUAAAGCGCACGUAGGCGGACUAUUAAGUGAGGGGUGAAAUCCCGGGGCUCAACCCCGGAACUGCCUCCAAAACUAUCAGUCUAGAGUUCGAGAGAGGUGAGUGGAAUUCCGAGUGUAGAGGUGAAAUUCGUAGAUAUUCGGAGGAACACCAGUGGCGAAGGCGGCUCACUGGCUCGAUACUGACGCUGAGGUGCGAAAGUGUGGGGAGCAAACGGG
rnacentral:rRNA from 1 species